GGGCUAUUAGCUCAGUUGGAUAGAGCGUUGGCCUCCGGAGCCAAAGGCCGCAGGUUCGACUCCUGCAUAGCCCGCCA
rnacentral:tRNA from 1 species